rnacentral:tRNA from 1 species
GUACGCUUGUCCGAGUGGUUAAAGGAGGCAGACUGUAAAUCUGCUGGCAUUAUGCCUACCUAGGUUCGAAUCCUAGAGCGUGCACCA